UACGUAGGUGGCAAGCGUUAUUCGGAUUUAUUGGGCGUAAAGGGUUCGUAGGCGGUUCUGUAAGUCUGAUGUGAAAUCUCCGGGCUCAACCCGGAAACUGCAUUGGAUACUGCAGAACUAGAGUAUUGGAGAGGUAAGCGGAAUUCCUGGUGUAGCGGUGGAAUGCGUAGAUAUCAGGAGGAACACCGAUGGCGAAGGCAGCUUACUGGACAAUGACUGACGCUGAGGAACGAAAGCUAGGGUAGCAAACAGG
rnacentral:rRNA from 1 species